rnacentral:lncRNA from 1 species
AACGAACCAAGCCAGGACGGGCCGGAGCGGAGCGGAGCGGGCUCACAAACUAGGUGCUCUCACCACCGGACUCACAUAAACCUCUGUCAAAUGCUAUCACACUUGAGCAGAACUGGGCUGUGUAACUGGCCUUAAGGGACCUCAAGGGCUCCCUGGAAUAUGGGCCUUUGAGUCUCUUCUGAGGUUAGAAUGGGCUGAAAGAUGCUUAGGCAGGCCCUACAGUUCCCUCCCUCUACCCUCUGGGGUAACCCAAGCCUUCAAAAAGAAACACGUUCUUAGGGAAUGGCAAUCAGGGUUAGCUUCAAAGAGGAGAAAUGGGGGUAGGGAGGUUACUCAAACUCUCUAUGUCAUUUGAAAAGCAGAGAAGAACACACACACACACACACACACACACACACACACACACACACACGAGGGAGAGAGAAAUCCUAUUUUUUAUCUUCAUAUUUUCAUUCUCUCUCAAGCACAUAGUAGAAAUGACAGGGAAAAGAAUUUUCAAAUGGAAUUUCCCCACUGAGUGUUAAGAAAGUUAGACAGGUUUCAAUUAGUUAUUAAAAUGACGUGGCUAGGAUUCAGGCAGAGAGGAAGAGAAAGGCAGAUAAAAUCAAGGCUCCCGAAAAUUAGGCAUCCAGGCAAGGGUCUUGUAAUGGCGACUGUGGUGGGUGCUGCUUACUGUUCAAGAAUUUAGCAGGAUGACUCUGGUACCCACAGAUCUAGCCACAAGGUUUUUCUAAAGGCACACAGUAUCUUGAGCAUAUAUCAAACAAGAGAACAUUAGAGAAGCCAAGCAUACAUGAUAAUUAAUGAGGUGGGGAUAGAGGUGGUUGGGCGAUGGAAGGGGACAGAGAGUAUGUGAAUCCUAAAGGUGGCCAUCACCUGCAUGUUUGAAAGGUGGCCUCUGAUUGAAGUUUCAACCUGAACUCCUUCCCCUUAUCUUAGCUCAGCUGUCAAAUGUUAGAAAACAAAAGGCUGCAGAGGAAACCCUUCCCGCCCCACAAUGGAACGUCUCCUUUUACGGAAAUCAUUGCAAAGGAAAAGUAACCCAACUCCUUCAGUGGUUUGUUAAAACCCUUUUGGCUCAGAAUCCCUGCAUUUCUUAAAUCCCUGAUAACUAUCUGGUGUUUUGUACAAAGGCUGGACCCGAAGCCUCAUUUCAUUACAGAGCUGUCUGCCAAGGGACCAAAUGGCAAAUCCUACUCUCUGUCCUACAGGGCUACAUACACACAGGAAUUCUACUAAAGAAUUACAUUAAGAUUUGGGGUGGAUUAAACCAUUAAUAGUUUCACUUUGUGCACAAAUUAUAGCCACCAGGUGCACAUUAGAAACUCUUUCUAUGGGUUAGGAGAAGAGAAGCCGCUAUCUAGAGAAACUGGACAUGCACGGGGACUGUGGGAUAUAGCUAGCUGCUUCUUACAUUGACGACUGUAAUAAUAUUUAUGGUUUAUUAUUCAAAGACUUCCUUCCAAACUGAGCUCCUUGGGUACUUUGAACUGCUCUCUGUAACAGUUAUUUUCUUUGUUUCUAGCUCAGGAUAUCAGAGGAAAUCAAACACCUAUCUGUUUUCAGUGGAGGUUUAUCAUUAUUAUUAUUAUUAUUAUUAUUAUUACUACCUCUGCAAUACACUAUCAUACAAGAUUCUCAGAACCUUCCCAGCUAUGCCAAGAUAUUCUGUGAAGCAGUUACAAAGUUCUUGGUACCCACAGAUCUAGCCACACCCCAUGCCUAUUUUACUAACUUUCAGCUAACUCUUUUGAAAGGAUUUUAUCUCUAGGAAUGCAAUCGCUCAGCAAACUUUCUCUUACAAUCCCCCGUCCCACCUUCACACUAUUCCCUGAGCCUUAGGUACAGUGUUUGUGCUGUAGAUGUUUCAGUUAGGACCAGGACCAUAUGUUCUCUGCAACCCUAGACAAAUAGCAGUCAACUAAGAAAUGUUAACUGAGAAGAGAUAGUCACUUUCCCAGUGAAGAGUGAUCAGCCUCAAAACAUACACAUGCAAGUAACAUAGAGUCUGAGAAGGUCGAAUUUAUGUAGUUAGGGGAAGAAGAAGAAUAUAUA